GCGCGUUGGUACCCUUCGCACGCGGCGGAGCAUCCUACUUCCGGUUUAUCCCAAGUGUUAACAUCGCGUCGUAUUCUCCCUUGCGAUCUCGCGAAUCGACGGAUAUUCUAUUUGGAAAAAUACAGAGUCGAAAAGGUAGAGAAGGGAGAAAGGUGGAGAAAAGGGAUGCACGUGGUGUUCUGAUGCUUUUAGGGGUUAGUUUUUCGCGAGGGGCCGAGGGAAAGCGCAUAAACAUGACUGCAUGAGACCAGUCUUCGAUAGAGUAAAAAUCUCCGGAGACGGGAGACGCGCAGAGAGACGCAAUGGAUUACGGUGUUACCGCGUGCAGGCGGUAGUGCUCGUAAGCCGGGGGGUGCUCGAAGCAUCUACGCGGGAGAGAAGAUUCUAUUUAUCGCCGAUCCCGCGCUUUCUCCUUCGGCUCUCCCCCGUCCGUCGACCCCCGUCUCGUCCGCCAUCCGUGAGAAUCGUGCGUCGCUUAUGAUGGAUAUAUUUUCGAAUGGAUUGCUCGCGCCGAAUGGAUUGUCGAUCAACAACGUGGAGAUAGCCUCCUAUCACUCGUCCUUUUGCUCGCCACCGAUCACAGAAGCGUCUCGAUCUGGUUACGAUUCUAGCAGCGGUGGAGAGUCCGACAACGAGUACAGUACAGUUAGCCAAGGCGGUCAAGUACAAAGUCAGGCGCAAAAUCAACUUCCCAGCGUCACAAAUUACGGGCAGGGAAAGCACAUAAAUAAAGGACGAUGGACCAAAGACGAAGACGCUUUAUUGAAACAACUAGUAAGCAACGCGGAACAACAGGGCACUGGUUUGCGAUGGGACAUUAUAGCCGGCCAGUUUCCAGAUAGGAGUGAUGUACAAUGUCAACAGAGAUGGGCGAAGGUCGUGAACCCGGAACUGGUGAAGGGUCCAUGGACGAAGGAGGAAGAUGAAAAAGUAGUAGAACUUGUACGGAAGUAUGGUCCGAAAAAGUGGACGGUGAUAGCGCGACAUCUUAAAGGUCGGAUUGGCAAACAAUGCCGGGAACGAUGGCACAAUCACUUGAAUCCGGAGAUAAAGAAAACUGCAUGGACGGAGGCUGAAGACAAAAUAAUCGUUGAUGCUCAUCGUAGAGUCGGCAAUCAAUGGGCAAAAAUCGCUAAGCUGUUACCGGGUAGGACUGACAAUGCGAUUAAAAAUCAUUGGAAUAGUACGAUGAGAAGGAAAUAUGAAGGUGAAGAAGGAAGAAUUGCGACCAAAGGUAUUGUUUACGAUGGCAGAGGCAAGAGAAAAAAUGCACAGGGUGCUACUAUUGUAAAGGAUACGCUUCUUCUGGAAGAUGAUCAGAAUCGUAUGAAAACUGUCUCGGCUAGUAGUUCAACAGUAACAGCGGGUAACUCCUCGCAGAAUCUCGACCUCGAGCAUCUGAGUUGGAUCAAAAAUUGGGAACAGCAUGCUACGGCGGGAUAUCAGAAUGCUCUGGAAUUAAACAGGCAUACACACGGCAAUGAAAAGUGCUCGUCUCCAUUGAAGAGAGGAUCUUCACGAGCGAAAGCCGAGACAGUUUCGUCAUUAUCUAAAUAUUUCAAUUUGCAACAAAUACAAAACGAAACAUCUGGUUCGAAGAGCUCGGAGAUAAAACUGAUGCCGAUGCCCGACUUGGAGGAUAUACCCGAGCAGCAUGUGGACAAGAAGAGUACCCCUCCGCCUAUAUUACGUAGACGUAGAAACGCGCACAGUUCGCUGCAGAGGAUAGACGUCUCCGACAGCGGGAAUCAGUCGAAUUACAUCGUAACGAGCCAACAGGUGCAAACAGGGAACAUCACCCCUUCGACUCCCAUAAAACAACUUCCAUUCAGUCCUUCGCAAUUCCUGAACAGUCUGAGUCCGUCGGAAACGUGGCCGCGCGCAAGUACGCCCAAAGGAAGCAGUCCUGGCCCGCUCACGACUCCGCAGCCUACUGGUUUCCGAAGAAGUCAAAACGACGGUAAUACACCAAGAACACCAACCCCAUUUAAAAACGCUUUAGCUGAGCUCGAGCGACGAACCGGAGCGGUACAGUUGCCCGCGACUCCUAGUCGUCUAGAUGCAUUGACCGAGAUAAUAAAGCAAGAGACCGAGAACGAAGCUGGAACGAGUACGAUUCAAGACCAAGACUCGGGCUACAGUAGUAUGAUACGAAGGCGCGGUAAAGAAAACAGUGCACCUGGAGGAAAACGCGCGAGAAAGGCUCUUUCUCAGGCUUGGGCAUCUCAGGACAACUCCGAAAUUAGUUUCCUUGUGGAAACACCAAGUAAAAGUUUGGAAGCUUCUACAUUGUUCUCACCUGCAUCUAUGGCACUAGAAGAUAGCUUUUUGACGGCAGGAACCAGUCCUACAAAGACUCCUCACGACUUUACGUCCGUACAACAACGGAAGCCGAAUGCCAAGAGAGCAAUCACGUUUGAUGCAUUCGACAGCCCUUAUUGUAUCUUCAGUCCUCUGCCUUCCAGGCCGGUAAAACGCACCAAGGCACAAUUGGAAGCACAAUGGGUAACGGUGGCGUGUGGUCGUACCCGGGACCAGCUUGACAUGACUCGCGCCGCUCGACGCUUUCUAAACAAUCAUGGGUAUCUGCCGUUGCGCCCACGUUCUUUGAAUUUCUGAAGAAGAAAAAAAAAGGAAAAGGAAUGUGAAAAGCGGAAUACCGGCGCUCGAUCGCACUUUGUGGUACAAAAGAAGAAUUGUCAUUAAACUAGUCGUAGAUGAAGAUGUAAGGUCAUUCCGUUUCAGGAAUGCACGAUCACUAUCGGUUAUUUCACGCGCUAUGAAUUCGAGAGGUAAAUUAAGCGACGAAUUCGAUCGGUUGACCUCGAUGUGCGUGAAUUAACUCUACACUGCGCUGGGUAACAAAGAGGAUACUUUGAAGAAAACAUAGUGGAAAUAAAUAUCACUCUUUCAGGGAGGUUCUGGAUGGUGACUGAAUCAGGUGUGGAUCUAAUGGAAAUGGAUACUUACCUCUAUCUCUCGAACAUCCUUUUUUUUUCUUUU